rnacentral:snRNA from 1 species
AUGCUUACCUGGCAGGGCAGAUACCAUGAUCAUGAAGGUGAUUUUCCCAGGGUGAGGCUUAUCCAUUGCUCUGGAUGUGCUGACCCCUGCGAUUUCCCCAAAUGAGGGAAACUCGACUGCUCAUC